UCCUUUCCAGAGCCACAGUCAGUAGGCAGUGCUGGGGACAACCUACUCUCCCUUGCUCCUGCUCCAACAGGAUCACUGGGACCAGGUUUUUAAGGCACUGGCUGGGAUCUGCAUUCUGUCCCUGCUUCCACAAGGAGUAUGAGGAACACUGAGCAACACCACCACAGCUUGUUUCUCCUCAACAUAAGCUGUCAGUGUUGUGUCUGGAUCACUGCACUGCAAUGUGGAUGGAUACAGGACACACGAUAUGUGGAAAAUCCUUAAAACUGCAGUCCUGGUAGUAACCGACAUAUAUACUAUCAACAAAUAU
ensembl:lncRNA